rnacentral:rRNA from 1 species
CUGCUGGAGCGAACCUGGUGAACUGAAAUAUCUAAGUAACCAGAGGAAAAGAAAUCAACCGAGAUUCCGUAAGUAGCGACGAGCGAACGCGGACUAGCCCUUAAGCUGAUUUGGUUCUAGGAAAACACUCUGGAAAGAGCGGCCAUAGAAGGUGAUAGCCCUGUAUCUGAAAGGGCCAUUUCAGUGAAGACGAGUAGGGCGGGGCACGUGAAACCCUGUCUGAACAUGGGGGGACCAUCCUCCAAGGCUAAAUACUACUGACCGACCGAUAGUGAACCAGUACCGUGAGGGAAAGGCGAAAAGAACCCCGGAGAGGGGAGUGAAAUAGAACCUGAAACCGUGUGCGUACAAGCAGUAGGAGCUCCGCAAGGAGUGACUGCGUACCUUUUGUAUAAUGGGUCAGCGACUUACUGUUCGUGGCAAGCUUAACCGUAUAGGGGAGGCGAAGGGAAACCGAGUCUGAUAAGGGCGCAUAGUCGCGGGCAGUAGACCCGAAACCGGGUGAUCUAGUCAUGCCCAGGGUGAAGGUGCGGUAACACGCACUGGAGGCCCGAACCCACUCCCGUUGCAAAGGUAGGGGAUGAGGUGUGAUUAGGAGUGAAAAGCUAAUCGAACCCGGAGAUAGCUGGUUCUCCUCGAAAGCUAUUUAGGUAGCGCCUCAUAUGUAUCCUCUCGGGGGUAGAGCACUGUUAUGGCUAGGGGGUCAUCGCGACUUACCAAACCAUUGCAAACUCCGAAUACCGAGACGGACUGUAUGGGAGACACACGGCGGGUGCUAACGUCCGUCGUGAAAAGGGAAACAACCCAGACCCACAGCUAAGGUCCCAAAUUCUCGUGCUAAGUGGAAAACCAUGUGGAAAAGGCACAGACAGCCAGGAGGUUGGCUUAGAAGCAGCCCACCCUUUAAAGAAAGCGUAAUAGCUCACUGGGUCGAGUCGGUUCUGCCGGGGAAGAUUUAACGGGGGCUAAGCAGAGAACCGGAAGCCUUGGGGUGCAUAACUUUGUAUGCGCGGUUAGAGGAGCGUUCCGUAGGCCCGUUUGAAG